GUGAGUAAUGUCUGGGAAACUGCCUGAUGGAGGGGGAUAACUACUGGAAACGGUGGCUAAUACCGCAUAACGUCGCAAGACCAAAGAGGGGGACCUUCGGGCCUCUUGCCAUCAGAUGUGCCCAGAUGGGAUUAGCUUGUUGGUGAGGUAACGGCUCACCAAGGCGACGAUCCCUAGCUGGUCUGAGAGGAUGACCAGCCACACUGGAACUGAGACACGGUCCAGACUCCUACGGGAGGCAGCAGUGGGGAAUAUUGCACAAUGGGCGCAAGCCUGAUGCAGCCAUGCCGCGUGUAUGAAGAAGGCCUUCGGGUUGUAAAGUACUU
rnacentral:rRNA from 1 species